rnacentral:lncRNA from 1 species
UGAAAACAACAGUAGGUAUUUUAAUCUUCAACUAUCAAUUUUUGAGGAGAGAAGUGAGGGACAAAGAAGAGAGAAUAUAAUCUAGUUUAGGACUUAUUUGUGACCUUCAGAAAGUGACUCAUUCCCAUGACUUUAAUUUUACACUAUUAUAAACUGGGGAUGUCUACUACAUAUGUAUUAAUAGUUUUGUGUUCAGUAGAUGACAAUGUUUUAUUUUUAUUGAGCACCUUGUCCAAUAUGUUGUGUAAAUUAUAUAAGAACAUACUUUGCUCCCUAGGAAUUCCUCUAUGAACACAGGAAUAUAAGGAACAAAUCAGUAUCCUUUAUUGCUUUUAAACCCAGGUAGCUUGGAGACUAGUCAUAUCUCAUCAUGUCUGAGUUUUGCCCUUGGCUUCUCACACAUCGUGGACCCCUCCUAACAGCCCUAUUUCGGGUUUAUUUGAGUAGCUAGACUCCCGGAAGGGCGCAGGUCACGCGUCAGGAGGCUGCCGGGGUAGCACCCC